AGAUUGAACGCUGGCGGCAUGCCUUACACAUGCAAGUCGAACGGUAACAGGUUAAGCUGACGAGUGGCGAACGGGUGAGUAAUAUAUCGGAACGUGCCCAGUAGUGGGGGAUAGCCCGGCGAAAAGCCGGAUUAAUACCGCAUACGACCUACGGGUGAAAGGGGGGGAUCGCAAGACCUCUCGCUAUUGGAGCGGCCGAUAUCAGAUUAGCUAGUUGGUGGGGUAAAAGCUCACCAAGGCGACGAUCUGUAGCUGGUCUGAGAGGACGACCAGCCACACUGGGACUGAGACACGGCCCAGACUCCUACGGGAGGCAGCAGUGGGGAAUUUUGGACAAUGGACGCAAGUCUGAUCCAGCCAUGCCGCGUGCGGGAAGAAGGCCUUCGGGUUGUAACCGCUUUGUCAGGGAAGAAAGCUCCGAACUAAUAUUUGGGUGAUGACGGUACCUGAAGAAUAAGCACCGGCUAACUACGUGCCAGCAGCCGCGGU
rnacentral:rRNA from 1 species